CGAGAAACUCUAUUCUAAGGCUCAUGAAGUACAAACGUCGUGUCGCGAUGCGCCUCAGGUAGAGCGCGUGCACAUUAACUGCUUUGAACUGCAUGUAGCGCUUUAGCCAAACCCAGUGUGUUGGAUUUAAACAGUCCAGUUUUGACACAUUUGCUUUGCUCAACCGAGUAUAGGCGCUAAGCCCAGGGAUUUCACCUCGUCCUUGAGAGACCAGCACAAAUCAACCCAAAUAAAACAUCCCGACACUGUUCACCUCUACCGGAGGGUCGUUUUCCUUCGAGACACGUGGACGAAGCCGUACACAGCAUUAGGGACAGAAGAGACGCAGCCUCUAUAGAGGGACUCAGACAGGGUGGGAGGAGAUCCCAGCAGGUAAAAAGACCCACCGCAGGUCACGACCACAAACAGCAUAUCAGCUGGCUAUUUCUGAACAGGCCAUUGUGUCUGAUUUCUGUCCACACAGACACACACACACACACACACGCGCACACACACACACACG
rnacentral:lncRNA from 1 species